rnacentral:lncRNA from 1 species
AACAAUUUAUUUAAUAGAACAUAUACUUCGCCGACGUUACAGAAAUUUAUUAACGAAAACAACACUUGAUAAUUCUAAAAAACAAACAAACACCACAGCUUCGUUUAAAACAUUUAAUUAGAACGACACAAACAAAUGACACAUAUAGAGAACAUAUCAGGGAACAAAACACAUUUGUUAAUUACCUCCCACGCUUGCAUCUGUUGAAGGUAGUACAAGCCCUGGAAUUAUAUAUCUUACCCUGUUUGAUACAAGCUUCAUACGCAGAAGAAGUACAUAUCGCCGUAUGUUGCAAGGCCCUCGUGGAUAUGUAAUUAUUUCUCCCUGAAAGAGAAUCCCAAAAUUCAUCAGCUCCCCCAUCUUCAUGAACAGUGAGAUUUCCCCAGUCACUUAUCAUCUGCCCUGAGGUUACAACGCCAAGGAGCAAGAGAAGGACGAAGACUAUUGACUUCAUUUCUUCAAUUAUUUGUCUUUUUUUUUUUGUUUUUCUGUGGUGUGAGGAGUGAUGGAUAGGGAAGAUAGAUAUAGUGGUAGUAUGAUUACUUUGGUUGGUCCAUAUUUAAUAUGAACUAAAUGUAUCCCUGAGCAUAUGUAAACAAUUAUAUAACAUGAAAUUUUUAAAAUGUUUUUGUAUUUGGUUAUCAAAACUAUAUUAUUUAAUUAAAAACUAUAUUAAAAUUUUCAAAUCACUUUUUCGAUGAAAACGCCAGCCAACUUCUUUUUUUGUUCAUGGAUUGUUUUUAAAUUUGUUUUUCUAGAUUUCCAAAUAAUAUUUAGAGAAUUACUCGUUCUUUUACCUCUAUUUUGUUGUUUACCAAUAAUUUCCACCGAAUAUUGGCUUUAUUACAUACUGACAUAUACCUUUGUACAAUUUCGUUUUACAACUUUUGUCGUAGCUUUUUUAGGUUUAUUAAACUGUAAAAAUUGAUGAUAUAUUUAGCUGAAGUUGAUGUUUAAGCUAGUGGAAGUAACAGUAGAGUGACUAGAUUCCGUGAAGUAAAAAUCCCACUACCGACGAUGCAAAGUUAGUGGCAGUAACAGUAGAGGCCUUAUCCACUACUGCAUGUUUUGCGAUAGUACAACGUAAUGCCUAAUGAAUGAUUAAAAUCAGGGCCUGAAUAUCCAAGGCCCAUUAUAUAGUCAGUUUUGAUUGAGUCGCAAUUGGACUUCACCGCCAUGUUCGUUUGGCAGUCGUUAGCGACCAACGACUAUUCGUUUGACAGUCGUUAGAUCCAGCGACCAAUCACAGUAACUGGUCGCAUCAAUCAGCGAUACAAAUUUUUAGUCGCUAAAUUUUUCAGCGAUUGGUCGCCAGGACCAACGACUGCGAAACGAACAACAUAGCGACUACAAAAUAAUAUAAAUAAAAAUAAUUUAAUUUAAAAUAAAAUAAAGCAAACCAAAAUACAAUAAAAAUAAAUAAAAUAAACUUGGUUUUAAUUACAUUGGUUUGAAUUAGCUUAAAUUAAACUAAAACUAGAUUAAAUUAAAUUUAAUAAAACAAAACUAAUUUAAAAUUUUAUAAUUUAAUUUAAAAUAAAUGAAUUGUUUAAUUAAAAAUUAAAAUAUAUAUAAUUAGUUUUUUAAGAAUGUAUAGUAUUUAACUUAAGUUUUAAUGAAUUAAAAUUUUCAAAAAAUAAUAAAAAAAAAUUUUAAAAAUCAAAUAUAUAUAUAUUGCGACUACCAAACGAACAAUACAUCGACAUCUGUCAAACAAACAACAAAAGCAAUCGCUAGUCGCAGUCGUAGUCGCUAAACGAACAUGCCAACAUCAAAAACAACAAAAUCAUUUUAAUUACCAGAUGAGUUCUUUCCACGGUAUAGUCCAUUAUUCAACAUUAAACUAUAUUUGCCAAUAAAUUUAGAGUACUAUAAAUAUUAUUUUAUUAGUUAUUUCCAAAGCCUAAAGGUACCCCAACUCUAGACAGCAUGAAACUAUUUUUCUCAAAAUUGUAACUAUUUCUACUUUCCAAUGUAUAUAUAAUACUACUUUUUCUAAUUAUUAAAAAAAGCAGUAACUAGUAUUCUAUCAUUAAUAUUUGAAAAAAAAAAAACAUUUUCCUAUCAAGAACAAAGAUGUGUAUUUUACUAAAAUAACUGAUUACGUAGGCUAAUGGUUUAAUCAUAUACAAAAUAAAAUCGACUUAACAUUAAAGAUUAUUAUUAUUUUUUUGUUUUUUUUUUGUCAACCACACAUUCAUUAAAGAUUAUUCAUUAAAGAUUAUUAUUUAGAAGUUGAAAUUUUCAGACAUUUUAACCAUUUUCCAUAUUUGAUCAAACAAAUAUAUAGCCUUAUGAACAUGAAACGUAAAAAAACUAAAGAGACAUCAUUUAAUUGCAAACAUGAAACAUGAUUUAGUCAUUGGCGUGUUAGGAUUUGAUUUCCAAAUCCGGCCCUUCUAAAAUGAAUUAAGUAAACAAUAAAUUUACAUAAUUUAUAAAGGGCUCACUUUCAAUGUGGGAGAUCAUUUGAAAGAUAUACGUACCUUUUUUUCUCCUUUUUCGCUCCUAAGCAAUAAAAGAUGAUCACAACAGCUUAAUUAAUAAAGUUGAACAACAUAUUAUCAGAAUGUUAGAUUACAACAUAUUUGUCAUAGGUUCCACCCAUAUUUUCAGUCUUUUUCCAAUUCCACUUAAACAACUUAUAUUUUUUCCAAUUCUACCCAAUUUUAUAUAAUUCCUCCUAAUUAACCAAAAUCAAUUAUUCUCCCUAAUUGCGUUUUAAAAUCAUUAAAUCGUGAAAAUUAGAUUUUGUUUUGAGGAAAGCUAAUCUUUUGUGGCAAUCAGUGGGUUUUGUUUCGGAUUGCUAGAUAUUGGUCGGGUCAAUGUCUUCAACUUUCGGGUUACAAAUUUUGGUACAGUAAUCGCGAUUUAUCAAUUUAAAACACAAUUAAGGAAAAUAAUUGAUUUUGGUUAAUUGAAAAGAAUUAUAUAAGAUUAGGUGGAAUUGGAAAAAAUAUAAGUUGUUCUGAUGAAAUUGGAAAUAGACUGAAAGUAUGGAUAAAAUCUAGUUGAAACGCUAUAUUACAGGGGACAGAGACAUGCAACCCUAGUUUUUUAGCCCCAUCACCACAAAUUUUGUAGAGAUAUUAGUAAUUUCGCUAUCUUAUUAUCUUGAAUCGUGGUGGUGCUCAUAUAAGCAAGCCAUGAGCCAACGCAAACGGUUCUUUUGAUCAUAACGAAUGACUUCUCCAUUUCAAUUUUUUUUUUUUUGAAAGUCUUCUAAAAUAGAAACUUAAGUUGCGUUAGUCGAUUAAUGUUUACGUCAUAUAUGAUGGUAAAUGUUGACAUAUGAUUGAUCUAACCUAUCACAUUCACAAUCUCAACGGUUUCAAUCUAUGCAUUAAUGAUCUGAGAUUGACAUGCCUACUAUGUUUAGAGUAUAAUUGUGAUCGAUAACAUGUGAUAUUCGACUUGAGUUGCAUCAAAUAUAAUUUGAUAUAUCUUGUCAAAUUGUUGUAAAAUAUAUACGUGCAUUUUUCUGUAAUUAUAACUUAUCGUUUUUAAUAGGUUUGCUACUUGAAUAAAUUCGACUAAAAUAUAAUAAUAAUGACAAUGUUAACUCCCAGGAAUAUAAUUUACCCAGGUCAUAAAAUAGACUAAUAAUAGAAAAAAUAAUUUUUUUUCAUAACCAACAAAAAAAAUAUACUAAAUCCUAAAAUAUAUGUAGUGAUUUUCGAGACUAAGAGAAGAAUAUACAGAAACAUAAAACAAAAACGUACCAAAACAGUCGUUGGAGGAUUCGAACGUGGGUUCAAGAGGUACCAUACCUCAGGAACUUACCAAAUAUGCUAGAUGUACUUUAUGUCUUUAUAUGCAUUCAAACUUUUUUAAUAUUUUGACCAGGUCAUGUGACCUCCUUAGUUCCUUAGUGGGUCCGCCCCUGCGUACACCUAUAUCUAAAUUACUACUAAUAUUUAUUUCCUAGUUAAUUUGCUAUUUGUUUUCCAAGAAUAGGUUUCGUUAUUUAUGAAUAUAUUUAUUUUCUAAUUUCAAGUUUGCAUUCUUCAAGCUCAAUCUCUCUGAAUGGACUCUGGAACUGUUGGCAAUUUAAUUUGGAGUGAUAAUCUAGAAUACUUACCUACGAAUUGUGGAGUUUCUUGAAUUUAUUGAUGACGCUAUUACUACUUUACAACAUGUUUAGUUGAUGCAGGUCAAUGUUAUGUAUAUGUAGGUUAUGAGGAGAGGGUGCAGCUGCCCCUGGUGGACUCUACUAUCGAUCGUUGACACUUGACACCCUCGUGAAAAGUCUUAGCUCCCAAUGUUUUUGCUCGGUGUCAUGUUUUUUUUAAUGGGUUUGAUUGGUAAUCAUGUACCAAUGUGGUAUACUAUUUUGAUUAUUACCAGUCACAAAAAUGUUACUAAAAAAGAUGUUAAAAACCAUGCUUUUAGUUUUGUUUGUAUCAUAAUCUCAUACCGUUAUUUUGUAUCGUUUUUAACUAUUUUUGUAUCAUUUAUCAUUUUUUUAUCCGUUAAAAAAUGUUUCCGUUUUAUGUUACCAGUCGGAUCCACUAAUUUUAGAAGUUAAUUAUUUUUCAACUUGGAAAGUCCCAUUUUGUAGAAAAACAAUAUUUCUCUCAUAAUUGUAUGAUAUAAUUUCCAUUAAUUAAUUGAUUUUAAUAUAGUUUUAUCUACAUUUUCCCAAAAAUUUUGCAUUUACAUCAUCGACUUUCAUGCCUCGGCUUUCAUGCUAUCGAUUCUAAAUGGACUCACGCCUCUGACUCUUGCCCAUUUUACACCAUUUGUGUCUUCUUCUUACUUUUUUCCCUACAGAAUUGACUUCACAAAAAUCACCCACAUGGACCCAAUCACAUCUAAGAGGAAGAUUCUUACACAACAUGUGAGUGAAAGAAUGCAGCAGCCAGCAGCCCACACAUCAUGGAAAGUCUAUUUAAUUAAGGUUUUUCCAUACGUUUACAAAAAUAAACAAAAUUCCAUGGUUCUUUAGCUAUAUACAUUACUGCUAAAAUACAUGAACAAAUAAGAAAAAUUCGUAAGUAUAAAUAAAAUUUUACCUUUAUAAAACAUAAUAUAUUACUAAACCUACGCAACGCGUGAGCCAUUUUCUAGUAAAACAUAAAUAGAACAUGUUUUUCUAUUUCCAAAUCUUUUUCCGUCUCGUUUCCAAAAAAUCUGUCCCGAAUUUUCGUUUGUCCACCCCUAAUCAAUCGUAUCAAUAAACUCGAACAAAUUUUAAGUUGACUUUACGUAUGUAUGCUAUUGCGCAUUCAUUUUGUGGGUAUGUAAUAGUAUAUGUCUUCUAGCGAGUUAAUGUAAACAUUCUUCUGUAGGAAUAUAUUUGUUAGAACAUACACGUGAACUUUCUUUGUUAGUUCUAAAGAAACAGUUUUGAAUUUUAUCUAUUAUCAUCAUACCUUCGAUGAAAUGGUUAUUUCGAAUGGCGCCCAUGUGCCCGUCUUCCGAAGUACUUUAUUAAACUCUUUUCGUGAAACAAUCAUAUAUUAUUAUUUAGGAAAUCAUACAUAUAAAAUUAGGGUUUCACUCUCCCAUAAUUGGUCCAUUUGGCAAUUCACUUUUUCAAAAAAAAUUAUAAUAAUAUUUAUAUCUUCCUAAACCACAAAUACAACACAUUUAUUCAUAUACAUUAAUAUACCAUUUAAUACCAAAUUGUAACCAUCAUACAAAUUGUGUAUUAAUUGUAUAUUUCCCCACUCAAUGUCAUUCAAACACACUAUAAAUUCAAAUUGUAACUCCUAUAAUUUUAUUACUAUUAAAAUGUAACUUCCAUCACUUUCUAUACUAUAAAUAAUCAUUCUCACAUCUUCUUCCACCAUAUCUCAAAUCCUAAAUAUUUUCUUUGUUUUUGUGUUGUUGCAUGAGUUGAAAAAUCAAUUGAAACAUCAUUGUAAAGGUUUGAUUAUAAAUUUUGUUUUUAGAGACUAUAUGGUAUAUAUUUUACAUUGUUUUCAAUUAUAUUUUUAUUCUCAUGUCUUACUUGAAUAUACUUAUUCUUUCUUUAAUUUUCAUAUUUUUAGUUCAAAACUACAAAUGUAUAAUAAUAAAUUUGAUGGCUAUAAUUUCUGAUUUUAAUUCAAAAUUACAUACUUUGAAGAUUUAACAAUGAAGUUUUCAAAUAUCAAAUCAACCAUUGCACAAGAAGAAAAUCAAGUUGAGAAGAUCCAUCUCUAUUUUCUACAAUAAAUAAAUUAUUGUAAUAUCAAAUAAUAUUUUUGCUAAAUUUCUUACAUACUUCUUUCUUAUCUCAAAUAAUGUUUUUUUUUUUUUUUUUUUUUUUUUUUUUUUUUGGGCGAAAUCUCAAAUAAUGUUUUGUAUUAUUUUUAAUAUACUCAUCAGAUUAAUUUUUGUGAUCCAAUCAAUAAUUAUAUAAAAAUCAUUAACUAAAAUGUUUAUUCUCUUCAAAGCUUGUGGUUUAAGUUAAUUUCUAAAAUAAAAGAAUUUAUUUACAAAAUUUUAUAAUCCAACCUAGCAAUUUAAAUCAUAUAAAUAUUUAAAUUGAGUUGAAUAUAAAAUAUAUUUGACAUAAAUAUCUUAUUGUUGUAUAAUUAAAAUAAAUAAUAGUCUAACAACAUUUUCUGUAUAUCUAGAAAAUACAUUAUAUGACUUUCACUCUCUGCUUUUUUAAUAUUUUCAAAUAUUUAAUAUUAUGAUAUAAUACUAUCUAUUAUUAACUCACAUUUAACUUUAUACGUAAUUUGCAUACAAAAUAAUUAUAAGAACAUCAAAACCCCACUAAAAUACAUUUAUUACUUGACUAAAAUCAUUGACCAUAAUUUUUAGUUUGAAUGGUUUUCCUACUAAUUUUAAAAAAAAAAACUGUAACUCCCUAAAUGUAUUUAUUUUCUAAAAAUAACUUUCAACACUCAUCAUCCUACAAAUAAUCUUUCCUUCAUUUUCCUCCACCAACAUCUCAAAAUUUUAAUAUAUGAAUAAUGAUCUAACAUAUAUAUAUUAUUUAUUUAUUCAAGGUUUGUGGUUAAUAAUAUCAUUAUUAUUUUAAUUUGAAUUAAAAUGGUUUAAUAAUCUUAACUAGUAGUAAAAAAUUUAUAAAGGUGAAAUAUCUAAAAAAAUUUUUAUCAAUAUAACUUGAAUUGCGUGAGAUAAUGAGAAAGAAAGAAAAUAGUCUAAAACUAUUCUCCAAAUAUUAUAUAUAUAUAUAUAUAGUUUUUACUCAAAAAUUAUUUAACUUUUUAUUAUUGUAAAUCAAUCAAACGAGUUUUACAUGAACAAACGAACAAAAAGUUUAAAUACCAUAUUAAUAUAUAUAUAUAUAUAUGUAAUUUUAUUCCUAUUUAUAAUUAAAUUUAGUCCAAUCAUUUGAUUGUUUACACUACUAUUAAAAUCUAUACAAAAACAACAAUAAGUCACAAUGGGAGCUGCCAACCUCCGUAGAAGCCUAUCUCCGCUACAUGCCGAAUUCGAGGCCCUCCUUUGGGCGAUGAAGUGUAUGAUUGGUGCAGAUAAUCAAGAGGUAGCAUUCCUUACAGACUGUUCUGACCUGGUGAAGAUGGUGUCUUCCCCAACCGAAUGGCCGGCCUUCUCAGUGUAUCUGGAGGAAUUUCAGAGCGACAAGGAAGAGUUCUCUACCUUCUCUUUAUCUUUAAUUUCUCGUUGUGCAAAUGCAAAAGCGGAUAAUCUGGCACGAAAAAUUCGUACGGAACCGCUUCAUAUCACUUAUGUAAACAACAUUCCACAAGAAUGGCUCUUUUGAGUAAUAUUUAAUUACAGAUGACAAAAAAAAAAAAAAACAACAAUAAGUCACGCGUAGCGUGGCUACAUAUACCUAGUACAUAAUAGAAAUAACAUCGAUUUUUGUAAGUUAUAAUAUUAAAAUACUAUUAAAGAUAAAAAAAAUUUAGACUAAAUUAAUUCAUCGUAUUAAAGAUAAACAAGUGAAAUAUAAAUUUUGUAAUUUAAAUUAAAUUUAGAAACGAAAAUUUAUACAUUUAUUUUUUUAAAUGUAUAAUUUUAUAUAUUGCGAUGCCCAUCUCCUCUAUUUUGGAGACAUACAUCGGAGCAAAAUAAUUCUAAAAUAGAAUUGCUUCUAAAAAAAAAAAAUAGAAGUGGACAUUAAAGAUGGUAUAAGACCUCCAACUGACACGAUCUUUCACGCACUUUGGAAUGCCUUUGCAUCCAAAAGUGCAUCUCUUCGUCCAUUUUCAAGCUCCAUUCAAAUGAGGUGUUCUCAAAAACAAAAAUAAACAAAAACAAACGAAAAAAAUGCAAAACAACCUUGGACUCCAAAUCCAUUAAGACUCACUAAUACUCGAAGUACAAAAUAACACAAAUAUAAAAAGAAAAAAAAAUCACCAAGAAAAUGGUGAAAUCAAGAGAGUCAAAGUGGUAAAAUCUAUGAAUAUCAAAUAUGAGUGAUUAUAUCAUGUCCUAUUAUGUUCUAGUAAGAGUAAAAGAUCCCGCCGAGAAUCCGUCUGGACCCAAAGCAAUCAAAUUUGGUUCUUUUUAGACACUAUUUUUUUUUAAGUAAAUAACUGAAAAUACAAAUCGUGAUCAAAGUUAUCACUUUAUCACAGCGAUAAUUGAAGUACAUGAUACCUAAAUAUUAAUUUCUACCAAACUCUACUAUAAUAACAAAUUAUUUAUUUAUAACAAAACCCAUCACGAUUCAAUUAUAAAGCACAAACUUUAAUAUGAAAUGAACAGAGGAAUCUUCCUCAUCCAACUAACUACCGAACAACUUAUUCAUGUCAAAGAUCUUGAGAAAUUAACUUUAAAUUCUACUAUUUCUACUUCCUACUUUUUCACCUUUUUAGUAUUAAAAUAUGCAAUAUUAUUUAAUUACAACCUUUUAAUAUUUUUAAAAAUUCACCUAAAAAAGUAAAACUUGAAUCUAGUUAUUUUUAAGUUAAUGGAUCAAACUUGUUGGACCCCACACUUCACUUGAUCUGCAGUUUUUUUUGGGUAUGAAAUUGUAUAUGCUAAUCUAAAACGUAAGAAGAUAUACAAGAUAAAUCAUUUUAAAUUUAUGUUCUUUAUAAUUAGUUGAAAAUGAACUCAACCGUUAUCACCUUUUUUACGGAAUUGUAUUUAAUACUCCCUCCGUUUCAUAAAGAGUGUCGUUUUAAGGUUUUAUUUUUGUUUUACAAAGAAUGUCGUUUUAGGUUUUCAAUGCAAAAUUUAAUGAUUUUUUAUGUUUUAUGACUAUUAGUACUCUGCAGAUUAUUUUACUAUUGGGCAGAUUAUGUUUAGGUAUAUAGUUAAUGAUGUUUUUGUUUAGAAAAAACAAAAAAUUUAAUGUUUUCUUAAUUUGUGUGCAAAACUCUAAAAUGACACUCUUUGUGAAACAGAGGGAGUACAUAUUACCAAUUUGUAGAAAAAUAGUACUAAAAAACUCUUAUUAUCAUUUGGAAACAUAUGUGGAAUUUUUUUUGUCUAGUAGUUAUCAAAAGAUUUAAUGGUUCUACACCAGAUUCGAAUCCCGUGUAUUAUCGCAUUUCUAAUUUAGUCUUCUAUUAGUAUUUCUACAAUGUAUGAUCAAUGAUUUCGUUGUAAAACCUUGUGGUUUGUUGGAUUAGAUGAGUUAUGUUGACUGACACUCGACAUUUGGUUGUAAUAUCUGUUUUUUUAAUUUCGUUUAUGACAAGUUUAUAGUUUAGGACCUUCAGGUUAAGCUUUUUUUUUUUUUUUUGUAACAUUUCAUAGUUCAUUUUAAAUAACAUUAGGUGAAUAUCUACAAUAGGCCGCACUCUUUAAAAAAAAAAAUCAAUAAAUUAGGAAAUAAAUACAAUUAUAUUCAAAUAGAUUAUUUGUCAAGACUUCCUACGAUAAUGAGAUAUUCAAGAUCGAGACUCUGUUUAUUAUUCAAAAAAGAAGAACAGAAAGACAAUAUUUGAGUAUCAAGAGCCAAUAGAAAACCAUACAUUGAUUUGGAUUGUUUUAAACUCCAUAUCUCCCUCAAAACUAAAAGGCAUAUAACAAACCAAAUAGUCAAAGACCCCUAAUUUGUAUUCCUAAUCCUUUAACUAUAGUCUAUUUGUAGAAUUUGCCAACUGUUUCCCUGUUUGAAUCCAACGCUUACUCUGACUGAUUAUGACGUUAAAUCUUGAAAGCUCUACAUUUAACAUCUCCAAGAAAAUUAUGAUGUGGCAGACACCUUCUUCCUCCUGUAUAUAUUUUGUCAUUUGGGUAACUUAUUUUCUCUGCAUUGAUUGGCGAAGACAGAUUUAAAGUCCUGCUUCAUCAUCAUAUUUUCUCUUUAACUUGCUCCUCCUUGUCCUAUGCCUCUCCCUCUCACCCUAAACAAAACAGAUGAGAUGUGAAAACACAUUUAAACCUCUUGGUUUGCCAUCCAACUCUAAAACUUGAUGGUAACAUAUAUCUAUAUCCUUUUCCUAAGAGUUAGUUAUAACUUUUAAUAUGAUAUAACGUUUAGUUAUGUUAUAUAUAUAACAAAAAAAAAAGACGACCGAACCUGAUAUCGUUCAAUUGCUCAGUUCCGUUGAUUGUGACCGGUGCGACGAACGGAACCGAACAAUGGAAGAACCCUUUUGUGAUGGUGAUUGGGUCGAUAGAUCAUUCCUAUAUAUUAAAAAAAAAAUUUUGUUUAAUUAAAAUCAAAAUUUACCCUCGAGAAUUCACACAUGCAUAUCACCGUGGUUUAAUAUAUGUCUUGACAGAUCACAUUAUUAUUACAAACGACUAACAAUAAUUCAUCAUCAAAAAUAUAUUAUUCUUUGAAAUAACUCUUUGGUCACCAUCAUGCAUAUUUUCAUACUAGGAGACAACAAAAGUGACAAAUAUGUCAUGUUUUCCCAAAUACUAUCAGAACUCUUAGAAUAAGAAAUAUACUCAGAGUUGGUGUAAUUCUUUAUUAUUUUUUCACUGGUUAGUUCAUUAUCUAUCUCCUCUCUGCUCCCUCUAUCUCUCUAAGCAUGCUACACUUGGGACUUAACUUAGCUUUCUAUAUAAACACUUGCAAACACAUCCUCCUAGUGUCAACCACAUUCCAUAGCCAUCUCUCUCUCCCUCUCUCACUCACUCUCUCUUUCUCUCUGGUUUGUUUCAAAACAGAGUACAAAACAGAGAAAACAAGAGAAGAAAACAGAUUGAUCUGUUUUUAAAACAGAGCAGAUAACAGAGUGAGAUGGGAACAAUGAUGGUGAUGAUGGGUCUUCUCUUUAUCAUUGUCUCGCUCUGUUCCGCUCUUCUUCGAUGGAAUCAGAUGCGAUAUACCAAGAAUGGUCUCCCUCCUGGAACCAUGGGCUGGCCAAUCUUUGGUGAAACCACCGAGUUUUUCAAACACGGCCCCAACUUCAUGAGAAACCAAAGACUCCGGUAAGAAUAAACUCAAACAAUCAAAUCAAGAUUUUGUUUUCCUCUACCAAACCAACUAACUUGGGAUCAACAGAUAUGGGAAUUUUUUCAAAUCUCAUCUUCUUGGUUGUCCAACGUUAGUCUCGAUGGACUCAGAAGUAAACAGAUACAUUUUAAAGAACGAAUCAAAAGGUUUGGUUCCUGGUUACCCACAAUCCAUGCUUGAUAUUCUCGGAACUUGCAACAUGGCUGCGGUUCACGGUUCGAGCCACCGGCUUAUGAGAGGUUCACUUCUCUCUCUUAUAAGCUCGACCAUGAUGAGAGAUCAUAUCUUGCCUAAAGUUGAUCACUUCAUGAGAAGCUAUCUUGGUCAGUGGAAUGAGCUUGAGGUUAUUGAUAUCCAGGAUAAGACCAAACAUGUAUGUUUUUACCUUUAUCUUUUUCCUUCUCUGUUUUUACUUUUUUACCUUCUCUGCUUCUUCAGUCUAUGCCUUACAAGAGGAUGUACUGUUUUACUAUGUCAGAUAAAUUCUUUCAAAAAUAAAUCAAGUAGUUGUAGUUUAGUGGUUGAGGAUUGAUUAUUUCGAAAUUUUCUGUUUUUUAAGUAAGUGAUGUUUUGGUAUAAUAAAUUUUACAGUUACAUUAUUAAUUGAUUCCCACCGAUAUGGUUACAGUUUUUGAUAGAGACUGAUAAACAAACUUAUAAUCUUAUAUAUUUUUUUUUUUGUUAAAGCACUUAUAAUCUUAUAUGGAUGGGUGUAAUAGUAAAUAACUGAGAAUGUUUGUCUUCGCUUAAAUUCAAGAAUACUUGUCAGACUUUUUUUGUUUAUUUAUGUAUAUUUUGUGUAUUUUUAAAUAUUUUUUUCUUGAGUGGGUUUCAUGCAGAUGGCAUUUUUAUCUUCACUGACACAAAUCGCUGGGAAUUUAAGAAAACCAUUCAUUGAGGAAUUCAAAACUGCGUUCUUCAAGCUUGUUGUUGGAACUUUAUCGGUUCCGAUCGAUCUUCCCGGCACAAAUUAUCGUUGCGGGAUCCAAGUAAAAUACUUGAUCUUCACUAAGAAAAAUUUUAAAAGUAAAAAAUUUGACACAAACUGAAUUUUUUUCGGUUGCUUUUCAGGCAAGAAAGAACAUUGAUCGGUUUCUAAGAGAGCUGAUGCAAGAACGUAGAGAUUCUGGAGAAACAUUCACAGACAUGUUAGGUUACUUGAUGAAGAAGGAAGAUAACCGAUACCCAUUAACCGAUGAAGAGAUAAGAGACCAAGUCGUGACGAUUUUGUAUUCGGGUUACGAAACUGUCUCUACGACCUCAAUGAUGGCUCUUAAGUACCUUCAUGAUCACCCAAAAGCUCUUCUAGAACUCAGAGUAUGUCUCUAAGAAAAUAGCAUAACGGUUUUUCGAUUGUCUGGUUUAAUCCGGUUCGGUUAUUUGAUUCCGGAUUGUUUUGGAAAAUGCAGACAGAGCAUUUGGCUUUAAGGGAAAGUAAACGACCAGACGAACCACUUGGUCUUGAGGAUGUAAAGUCAAUGAAGUUCACUAGAGCUGUGAGUAACAUUAAUGUUAUACUAACAAUAACUAAGCAUUAGUUGUUAGUUGUUAGCGAUUAAUUAAUCAUUACUAAUUAUUUAUUACAGGUUAUUUUUGAGACAUCAAGAUUGGCAACGAUCGUUAAUGGGGUCCUAAGGAAAACUACUCGUGACUUAGAAAUCAAUGGUACGCAUAUAUAUAGUUUUAUUACAAAUCCUUUGUCGGGUUGAUUAUAAAUUUAUAGUUUUAAAUUUAGGAAAAAUAAAGAGAGAAAUAAUGUGAGCAUGUGGUGGACCUUAGUAUAGAUCAAUGAUUUAGAAUGUAUUAUGAAUACCAACCAAAUCCAGCUAUGAAAGCAUCCUCUUUUGAGUGAGCCAUCUUUGGGUAUUUGAGCUCCAAUAAUUUUGACAGAAUAUAAACCUUUUUUGUGUGUUCUUUAAUUGAUUUUAGUAUUCUGAUCUAGUGAUCAUGAAUCUUUAAUAAUUGCAGGUUAUUUAAUCCCAAAAGGAUGGAGAAUUUAUGUAUACACGAGGGAAAUUAAUUACGAUGCAAAUCUAUAUGAAAACCCAUUGAUCUUUAAUCCAUGGAGAUGGAUGGUAAGUAUUGUACUUCAUAUAUUUAAUAUGAAACGUCGUUUUAGAGUUUUAUUUUUGUUUGAAUGUCGUUUUGAAUUAUCAAUGCUAUUUAAGCCAAAUUUAUGAUUAUAUCACUACUUAUAAAACUUAUUGUAACUAGAAAGAUAAUUUUAUAGUCUUAGUCAGACAAAAUGAUCUUGUACUAAUGAAGAGUAAAAUUUACAUUUUAACAUCUUUUACAUAUAUGUAGAUUUUUGUAAACGAGACUUAAUUUAAAACGGAAAGACUAUUGUGUCGUCCUCGUUUCCUUUGGUUCUUUCAGUGAACACUUAUGAUUUAAAAUGAGGGUUUUAUUAAUGCAGAAGAAGAGCUUGGAGUCACAAAACUCAUGCUUUGUGUUUGGAGGUGGGACAAGGCUUUGUCCUGGUAAGGAACUAGGGAUUGUCGAGAUCUCGAGCUUCCUCCAUUACUUUGUUACGAGAUACAGGUGUGUUCUUGGUGAUGAUCUAAUGUAUUUGUUUUGUUUGAAGUUAUUGUUGUUUGAUAUGAGAAGUUUUUGUUAAUACUAAUUCCUUUGUGAUGAAUCAAUUAUAAUGGCAGAUGGGAGGAAAUAGGAGGGGAUGAAUUAAUGGUGUUUCCAAGAGUUUUUGCACCAAAAGGCUUCCAUCUUAGGAUUUCACCCUACUAAUUUUAACUUUUUAAAAUGAAUAAAUAAAAAUUUAGAAAAUAAUAUAGAUUUUAUGCACAAAGGUUACAGAAGACGUAUAUGAAGCAACAAAAGAAGAUAAUUAUAUAUAUUUUUCUUUCUUUUUGACCCAUAUUUUUGUUCUCAUUUAAGAGUCUUCUGGUCAUAUGUACAUAACCAUAAGCAGUUUUAUUAUAUCUAUUUCUCUGUAACUCUAUUUGAACUUGAAGUAUAUCUCUGGCUAAUUCUUGAUGAUGUUCUAUAUCAAAUCUAAAUAACUUCUCCAUCCAAACAUAUGUAGCUGACUUAGUUAAACCUGGCGAAGCCCAUGGGCCAGCAAUAAUGCAUAGACUUUUUUUUGUGGUACCAAUCAAUUUUAUCUGAUAUUUUGAAUUAAACUUAAAGAGUAACAAAGGUUCAAGCAAGAAAUCAAGCUAAGAAGUGCAAAGGCCAAAACAAAAGCGAAUAGGGGAAACACAACGAAAACGUUACACAUUGCUAACAUUUCCUUGUCAAAGAGGUCAUUUAGCCAUCAGAGAUGACCUUAUGUUUAAUGAGCUAGGGUUGAACUUAGAAAUAACUAUAAGUAUGCGGUCAUAGUUAUGUGAUUUACAAAGGAUUUUGGCUGGAACCAAAAUGAUUCGAAAUUUAAGAUGCAGUCCUAAAGGAUAUGUGAACUCUCAAAUUUCCUGAUUGAUAUUUCGUUAAAUUAAACAAUUUUGUUAUAAAAUUAAGAUUUUCUGUUGAAAUUAAAAUAAAUAAAUAAAUAAAUAAAAACAAAAGUGAAAUGAGAUAUUUUCUCCAUCUGGAGUGUUACAUCAUCACCAAUUUUUUUUUUCUUGUUUGCUUCCUAAUUAUAAUAGUUUCUUUAAAAUUUAAAUUACUAAUAGUUGAGUUUAAGUAUGGUCAAAUAUACAUGUCAUUAUUAAAUUUUUUUUUUUUUGGCUUCCUAACAAUCAUUUGAAUUUUAUUUAAAAUUUAUAUGACUAUAUAGUUGAGUUUUUUUUAAUGUAAUUUUAAAUUAUAUUCAAAAGAAAAAAAAACGUAUUUACAUCAAUUGCAACAUUUGGUAGAAAGAGUUGUAAAACAAAUUAUUAUAGGUGAGUUUUAAGUGUGGUCAAAUAUACAUUUUACUAUAUAAAAUUAGUUUUUAUUUAAUUGGUGAAAUAAAAAUGAGCAACUCAUAUCCCAUAUUAAAAUAAAGCAUAUACAUUUCAAAUACGAAGGCGGUCUUCAACUAUGGUUUGGAUCAAGACAAGCUCAAGAUUAAUCUCUUUAUGCGAGAAACUGUUUUAUGAAAAGUAUAUGCAUUAAGUUGUAAAACAUGUUUUCUUUCUCUUUUUGAAUAUAAUUUAACAUCUAUUCAAAAAAAAAAUGAAGAUUAUAUAUAUAUAUAUAUAUAUAUAUAUAUAUAUAUAUAUAUAUACUUGAAAAUCCAAAAAUGCGACACUAGGAGUUUGAAAUGGUUAUACAAAAGUUUAAAAUCGUGUUCUCUCAAGUCUCACAGCACCCCACAUUUAUUAUGGUUGUAAUAUUUCAGUUCAUAAUGCAUUUGAAGUUUGAAAUGGCAUUGUUUGCUACUUUGCUUAAUGAUUCUAUUUUCUCAACUUGUCAUGAGUUUAUACGUGCUUGUUUCAAUGAUAUUUCAAUUGCACGUGCUAGCUGUUGAGUUGACUCGAACAAUUGUCAAUGUUAAUUUGUUCGUUUAAUUUUAGUAACAUGCCACGAUUGUAUAAAUCCAUGUCCAAAAUUGGAAUAGAUAAGGCUUAUCAUCGAUAUGGAGAGACAGCAGCUUGAGCAGCAGACAAGUGAGAUUCAAACGGUGUUUUUUUUUCUUCUUUUAGAUUCAAACCCUAUCGUGAUCCGGUCAGCCAAUAUGGUAUUUAAGCCUUGAAUCUGGUUAACAUUGACGGCUGCCACAUUAAACCCGACUGCAUUAGUUACGGUUCUUGGCCUAUUUAGCCCAGUGAAAAAGAAGUCAUACGCGGUUGCGAGCUUUGGGUCCUUGCAGAACUUUUCAUUCACAAAAACUGAACAUAUAUAAUAACAAAAAUGAUAAGAGAAUAUUAUAAGGUAUUGAAAUAUCAGUGAAAAAUGAGUGUAUGAAACUAUUACGAAAUCAACAUGAACAUACCGCCAUUUGCUGGGGUGUUGACACAGAUACAGAAAUAUUGAAGGGGGCUUGGAUCAGAAGCAUCGGCUGAUGAAAGUGCUAAAGCCAAGAAAGAUAGAAUUGCAAGAAAUGAGAAACUUUUUUAAUAGCCAUAUUCAAAGUGAUUCUUAGAAGAAGAUAAUGCUGAAAUAGUCCAUACAAAUGUAUAUACACCUGUAAAUCCAAGAAAUUCUAAAAUGUAUACUCUAAAAGUCUGAAAUAGUACUUAUGAAUUUUUUUAAAAAUCGUGUUCCCUCAACGCACCAUGUUUAUAGUGGUAAUAUUUCAAUCUAAAUACAAUAAGAAAUUGUUAGCGAAGUUUUAAUUUCAAAUGCAAGUUGACGUUUGAAAUAGAAAGUGUUGACAAGUUACACAAAAUGCAUUUGUUUGAUGAUUAUAUAUUCUCAACUUGUCAUGAAUUUAUAUGUGCUCAUUUUGACAAUAUUUCAUUUGCACAUGCAGCUGAGUUGACUCAACCAAAUGUCAAUAUGAAACUGUUACUUGAGUUUGAUUGUUUCUUUAAGUGAGUAGGCACGACUAUAUUAACUUACAUGUAUGCAUGUAAAUAAAAAGUGAUGUUAAAAAUUUAAAGAGAUAAUUAAUGCCUCUAAUGUUAUUACGUAAUCUUAACCUUGUCACAUAAAUUUCAACCCAUACCGAUUGUGAAUCGCUCAUCAUAGUUUUUAUAUCUUUCCAAAUGAGUUUAGUACUUAUAAUUUCAAAAACAAGAGAAAGUUACGUUCAUAACUUUCUUGGCAGAGUAUAUUAAACCUGCUAAAAGCCAUAUAUAUUCUUGUAACAAAACUUUUCAUACUAAAUGAGUUUUCACAUCCAUAUCUAAGAGAAAAAAAAAAAAAAGAAAAGAAAAAUGAGUACAGAAUUUUAAGUUUUUUCACAACUUCUAACAAAGGAAAGUACAUGUAUAUUCAGCAUCUGAACUAGAGUUCUCGUAUAGAUUCUUGGGUGGCCAUUUGCUUGCUUCUCUAUUAUCUCGUGUAUAAUUGUACAUAUUGUGAAAGGAAACUCUUGUCACUAAAGAAAAUAUUUAUCGUGAAUUCCGAAAUAUUGACGUGCAAACCAUUUAUCCAUUACUUAGAAAGGAAAUGCAUUUUUUUUUAUUUAGAAUCGAAUCAAGGUAAAAGCAAAAAAAGACAUCAUGUCAAAAUACAAUAAACGGAAAUACAAGAUCCUUAUUCAGGCACAAGUACGUAAAGGGAAAUCAGUUACGAUAUUAUUAUUUCUUGAACUUGUUUUGCAGAUCCACGACAGUCCUUGGGUUCAACUGGAACGCCUUUGCAAGAAUAGUUGGGUUUAUGGCUGGGUUAGCCCCAAACACGGUGUUGGCAAUAGUGAUGACACCAGGGUUUUGGCUGCUUAGAGCGGCGAAUGCAACCGCUGGUCCCUUGCCAAUGUUUGCUUGGAAAUGGAUGAGUCCCUCUGGAAACACAAAUACAUCACCCUCGUUGAGAACUUUAGUGAAAAGGCGAUUAUCCGGGUUUGAUGUGACAAACCCUACGAGAAGUGUUCCUUGUUCGACAACCAAGAUCUCCGUGGCACGUGGGUGGGUGUGAGGUGGGUUCUGUCCGUUAACCGCAUAAUCAAUACGGACAAGGGAGAUUCCAAGAGUAUUUAACCCGAGAAGGUUGUUAACAUUGACGGCUGUCACGGUCGACCCAACUGGACUAGUUACGGGUCUUGCAUUUUGAAGCCCUGAGAAAAAGAAGUCAUCUGCUGUGACGAGUUUCGGGUCCUUGCAGAACUUUCCAUUAACAAAAACUGAAUAUAGUAACCAAGAAGAAAAAGUGUUAUUAAGAUAUGAGAAAAUUUAUCAAAAAAUAUGAGUAAAAGUGAUUUGCAAUCAUCAUGUACAUACCACCAUUUGCUGAGGUGUUGGCGCUGACACAAAAGUCUUGAAGUUGGCUUGGAUCAGAUGCAAUAGCUAAUGGAAGUGUCAAAGCCAAGAGAGAGAGCACUGCAAGAAAUGAGAGACUCUUCAUUGCCAUAAAAGAGAGAGGAAUAAGAUUUUAGUGAAGAGAUAAGAAACUUAAGUGACAUAGACUUCAAUUUAUAGAUGAGUUUACGUGUUGAACUAAUCCAAGAAAUUAAUUAAUGAACUUGAUAUUUGAAAUGGUUAAAGUAUUUAAAUUUGUUUUCUUCAACACAUUAUGUUUAAUUGAAAAUUCAAGUUAAUAAAAUAUAUAUAUAUAUAUUUCCAACGAAACAUGAUGCACUUGAAGUUUUAUAUACAUAGUUCAGUAAAUUAUACGUUUAUUGAAUGAUUACUCGAAGGGAAGGUCAAUGUGAACGUGUUGGGGUGUGUUAAAAUGUUAGCAUCUGAUUGUUUCUUAAUUAUAUGAUAAGACACUAGGAAUAGUAUAGAGAUAAGAUAUAAUAACUAAUGUUUUCAGAGAAUAUUGUACUUUUUCACAUAAAUCUAAACCCCUAUUUCGGUUUUAAAAUCCAUCGUAGAGCACUAGCCAUAUGUAUAUGUGUGUCUCACCGAUGAAUUCUCCGCUUAUAUUCAUCAUUCUGAUUUCUUUUUGUUUUCUUUUGUUUUUUUGGGUUCCAGUGCAUCUUAUUAUCAAAAGAAACAUAACUAGCUAUAUUAUACACACUUUCGAGUAAAACUAAAAUGUUUGAUAAUAUAUACACGGUUCUACUUCUACAUAUUCUUGUUUGAAAAAUCGUUAAUGCGGAAAAUGGAAGAAUUUAAACUAGUGGCCAGUGGAACCAAAAUAUAUCAUAUUAUCCACAACCCACACCUUGGCAAAAAUGACAGUCAUACUAUUUUUUUUUUAUAGUAUUUUAUUAUUAUAAAACAUACUAGAGGUUAUCUAACGCUACGCGCCAAUUUUUUUAGCAGCAAAAUUUCACUGUGUUUAUAAAUAAAAAUUAACCUUUAUUAGUAUUUUAACAACAUAAAAUCUUAUUAUUUGACUUUUGAAAUAUAGUAUUAGCCAAAAUAUAUAUGUCAAUGAUAUUUUACAUCUAUAUUGGUAUAUGUUGAUAUGAAUUUAUUUUCAAAUAGUUUGUGAGAAGCAAUCAUAUAUACGAAAUGCCCAAAUAGAAUACCAUAAUUGCUAAAUAAUAGCUACUAUAGGCGACUAAUCUACGACUAUUUUCAUCAUUCUUCAAUUAGAGACUGAUUAGCGACUAUUGUAUAAUACUCACCGUUUGUUCGCCAAAACAUCGCAAAUCAGUCGCAAAAUUUACCGACUAAUUCAUUAGUCGCCGAAUAAAGUCGCUAAUCCGUGUUUUCUUGUAGUAUAACGUCCUGAGAGAACUCCAUAGUUAAGCGUGCUUGUGCUAAAACAAUUUCAGGAUUUGUGACCUUCCGGGAAGUAAUUACAUGAAUUGUACAAAACACAUAGAAAGAUUAUGUGGUGAUUUGUAGGGUCGGUAAACAAGUCUUUAAAGCUUUUCGGACGUAACGAACCGACCGUCGGACAUGAGUGGGACCCACGGACCCGAGAGAGGAUGUGGGGGCUCACUAGAAGGGGCGGUCGGGGCGUUACAAGUGGUAUCAGAGCCGAACCCAGGCGAGUGUGGAGUCAAGAGGGCUUACACCGUCGGGGUGACGGGCUUGGUGUGCAACGAGGACAUUGCGAUCUAUUAACGGGGGUGAUUGUAACAUCCCGGUUUUAGAAAUAUGGUGGUGCAUGUGGAGAGGUUUAAAAGAAUUGAUUUAGCCACCUAUGUUACAAAAGUGCACUUAUCUUUUCGGUCAAACGUCCUGAGAGAACUCCAUAGUUAAGCGUGCUUGUGCUGGAGCAAUUUCAGGAUGAGUGACCUUCCAGGAAGUGAUUUUCGGAAUUAUGUGAGUGAGAACAAAACACAGGGAAAUAUCAUGUGCUGAUUUGUAGGUCGGUAAACAAGUCUUUAAAGCCUCCUGGACGUAACGGACCGACCGUCGGAUAGGAGUGGGACCCACAGACUCGAGAGAGGACGUGGAUGCUCACUAGAAAGGACGGUCGGGGUGUUACAAAGAUAUAUUGCAAAAAUUAUUAAAAGCAUUUAUCUGGGAAAGGUUAGAUCGUGCAUCGCGAGACUUUAUCUGGGGAAGUACAGUGGUGCAGCGGAAACAACAUUUGGUGGGCUGGGAAAAAGUUUGCAGGCCCAAAUCAGAGGGGGGCCUGGGUGUUAGGGCUGCGCAUAAUAUGAAUAAAGCCUUGAUCUCGAAACUGGGCUGGAGGGUGAUUAAUGAUCAGCAUAGUCUAUGGGCAACGAUUCUGCGAAAAAAAUAUAGAGUGGGAGACCUACAUGAUCAGUCGUGGACAGUGGCCAAGAGUCAUUGGUAAUCUACCUGGAGAAGUGCAAAUGUCGGGUUGAGAGAGGUGGUGUUGCCGGGUUUGCACUGGGUCUUGGGCGAUGGCAGGCAAAUUAAAUUUUGGACUGAUACAUGGUUGUUCUCUACUCCGUUGGUGGACUGUACGAGUAGUGAUCUCCCGGAGACGUUGGCGGGAAGCUGUGUUCGAAAUUUCUGGAGUAAUGGAGCGGGAUGGGACUUUAAUCAGAUUAUGGGAUAUUUGUCGGAGGAGAAAAAACUGCAGCUUCUAGCAGUGGUGCUUGAUAAUGUCACCGGCGCUAAAGACAGAGUCUCAUGGGGAGGGACUACGGAUGGGAGAUUUACGGUGAAGUCAGCCUAUGCUUUCCUUACUAAAGAUGAGACGCCGAGACCGGGUAUGAGUAAGUUUUUUGAGAAGAUAUGGAGGCUGGUAGCACCGGAAAGAGUAAGAGUUUUCCUAUGGCUAGUCACACAUCAAGUAAUCAUGACAAAUGUGGAAAGAGCCCGACGUCAUUUGGGAGACUCAUCGGUUUGUCAGAUUUGCAAAGGAGGGGAAGAAACUAUUCUUCACGUUUUACGGGACUGUCCUGCAAUGUCUGGUUUGUGGGCUCGUAUCAUCCCUCAACGUGUCUUGAAUACUUUUCUCGCAGACCCUAUUGGAAUGGUUACACACAAAUUUGAGUGCAACCGUGGAAAUAGGUGAGAGCCCGUGGCCUACUCUUUUUGCAAUGACAGUGUGGUGGGGAUGGAAGUGGAGAUGUGGGAAUGUGUUUGGAACAAAUGGUCGAUGUCGGGAUAGAGUGUGUUUUGUGAAGGAUAUCGCCAGAGAGGUUACGGCUGCGAACUUGAGUGUUAAUGCAGGAGGCCGGGAUGGUCCUACUCGGGCGGUAAGACAGAUUGCUUGGAUACCGCCAGAGGAGGGUUGGUUGAAGCUGAACACGGAUGGGGCCUCUCAUGGCAAUCCGGGUUUAGUAACUGCAGGUGGAGUGCUUCGGGAUUGUGAUGGGAAUUGGUGUGGCGGUUUUGCGGUAAACAUCGGGGCUUGUACGGCACCUCUAGCUGAGUUAUGGGGAGUCUAUUAUGGAUUGUUUAUAGCUUGGGAGAGAGGAGCUAGACGGGUUGAGCUGGAGGUGGACUCGGAGAUAGUCGUGGGAUUUCUUAAGACAGGGAUUAAUGAUUCACAUCCACUGUCGUUCCUAGUACGUUUGUGCUAUGGCUUUAUUACGAAGGACUGGAUUGUCCGUAUUUCACAUGUGUAUAGGGAGGCUAAUCGUCUUGCGGACGGAUUAGCUAACUAUGCGUUUUUCGUUACCGCUGGGCUUCCAUAUGUUGGGGUCUACGCCGGAUUUUGUUUGAGGAUUCUAUAGGACUCUCGCAUCCGCGAAAUGUCCGAGUGUAGUUCGUAUUUCUUUUUUAAUAAAAUGGGAGACUAGAUCUCCCUCUUGUUCAACAAAAAAAACAAAAACAAAUGGUGUUGAAAUAAUAAUAAUUUAUAAGCCAAAAAAAAAUCGAACGGUUUACGGUUUUAAACCCAACCGAACCGGAACCAAAAUAUUUUAAAUAAUUGUAACUGAGUAUGUUGUUGGAAGAAACCGAAACCAAAACAAAUCACUUAAUUACGGUUCGAUUCGAUUUUGAUAAGGUUUUUUCUGUCCACUCUUAAUUUAUUACUGCAGACAUAGGUUUAUAAUAUAUUUUUAUCGAUAAAAAAUUUAUAACAGAGAAAAUACAAUGUAUAGAAAAUGAAUAUAUAUAACAAUACUAAACACAAACUUGGUUAACAAAAAUAUUCAACAUUAAUUAAAAAAAUAAAGCAAAAGUCCACUCGUAGAACGGAAACUUACCUAGUCAGUUAUUAUCUGAGAAUAGGGCCACCAACUAUCAAUCGAUUUGGACUUUUCCAUGUUUGACUAACAAAUUAGCUUAAUUUUUUUAUCAAUUAUUUUAGAGAAAACAUAUAUAUUCCAUAAAUUCAUAGAUGCAGAUAUCAACACCCUAUGAUUUUAACUUAUCUAAUUUCUUAAUAAAUCCAAGAACAUAAUUCAAGACAAUCCUAAAAAAACCACAUAAACUAUCAAUUGAAUCUAAGACCACAUGCAACAUCACACUAAGUUUCUGCGUUAAUUUUCUUUUUAUCAUUUAAGAUUUUUGAACAAUGAAAAUAGCAAAAUACUAUCAAUUAAUUAAUUUUUACCGCGAAAUAAGAUUUUAUAUCAUUAUAUAUUAGUUACUUUAAUAUGUCCCUUUUUUUGGACAAAAUUUAUUUUAGUAUGCCAUUGUGUAGGAUUUCACCACUAAUUGUUAUGUAGUUCUCAAUAGUUUUUUCAGAAGAAAAAAAUGUAACAAUUCGUUCACAUAGUAUUUUUUAUAUGGUAACUGUAGAUUAAUGUUAAAAUUUACAUUUUAUUUUCAAAACAUUAAAAACUCUGUAAAAUGAUACUCCGUUUGUUUUAAAAUAUAAAAUAAUUUAAAAUUCUUCUCCCUUAAAGAACGGAAAAAGAAACGUAGUCGAUUAGAAGAUAACAAUGGAAAAAUGAAAAAUAGGUAUCAUUUUACAGACUAUGACAUCAUAGUACACCUUGUGCAAAUCACUACAAAUACAUUUUUUCUAACUUUACCUAACAAUGCGAUAUUUGGCCCUCUAUUUUUAUGAUAGAUGUAAUUUUCAUUAAUUUUUUAGUUUGACAUUCUAAAUUUACAAAAUGGUCAUUAAUAGUUUUCCCACAUUUAUAUUUUUAACCAAAAGUGUGACUUUACUACUUAAUUAUUUUCGGUUACAAAUGUCAAUAUUUAUUACAUAUUAAACUAUAAUUUUGAGAAGAACUAUUUUUUACUAUAAUUGGAACUCUCUUAAUUAGUUCUAUUAAACGCAUCAUGUAACUUUGACAAUGUUGGUGUUGUAAGAGAGGCCUUGGAAGCUAGGUAGAAGAAGGUGAAACACUAAACGUCUUUAUGAUUUUGUUAGAAGAUUGUUGAUGGGUAUUUAUUCUUUUGUUAUCGAUGAAACAUAUAUAGUUUAAAUGGGAGCCGACAUAUUGGAAACAACAGAAAUUGAUGAACACUUGCUGUAACCCUCGAAAUCUUUGUUGCACAUGUAUGAUUUUGAAUUCAAAAUGUUUUGUUAAAACUAAAAAUGAAAGAAAACUAUUCUUGUAAAAUGGAAAAAAUAUUUUUGAAGUAAACUAUCAUAUUAGAAAAAAAUAAAAAUAGAGUCAAAUUCUUACCAUCAUUAUGUCUCGAUUGAUUUAUCAACCCAUUAGAUUUCAUGCUUGGUAAGGUUUAUGCUCUCCAUAAAUUUUGGGAUUAGGACUAACAUAGAUCAAAAUUUUCUAUACAAAUUUGAUUUUAAGAUAUGGUGGAGGAGGAAUAGUGAACAAGCAGAAGAAGAAAAGAUAAAGUAAGCAGAAAACCUCCCAGGCACGAUUAUCGAAACAAUUUUUCUGAGCUCCCUUUCUGACGCCGGUGAAGCUUUGGCUCGCCGGCGUCGGGACACCUCUUCUUCCUUUAACUUGCAUCUCCUAUAUCUCUCGAUAAUCUUUGUUAGGCCAUUUUCUCAAUCAUCCCUAAACUCCAAUCUUUCAACGUGUUUCGAUGGCUCCGACCGAAUCUGUGACAGAGGACUAAGGCGGUCUCCGGCGACCUUCUCCCAGCCUUACCCUCUACUUAAUUCAAUUUCGAAAUCGAAGAAAGAAGUCCACACUUUUCCCAGCGGUGCUUUAUCUCACAAAUCGGAACCUUGCCUCAUCGAUCCGCCAAGAUACUCUAGCUCUCGACCUUUACCAGAAGGUUCCACGCACCAGCAGAUGUUGUUCAGCGUUCCAAUUCUUGGAAUGACUUCUCCGGUGAUGUUGGCGGCGGUGUACGGCAGAGCUCCUCAAACCAGAGGUAUGCUAGGGUUUCCUUUAUUGGACUGGACUCAAUUGGGCCCAAUUGACUAUAUCUCUCGGCCCAUUACCAAAAGUUGCAACCCAACUUCUCACUUUGCUUGGCCCAGGUCUGCUUUUCUUAAUUUUUUGCUUAGCCCAUCAUCUUUGACAUCUCGAUAUAGCGACUUGACUGGCCGAGGACUCCAACUAAGUCCUAUGUCGUUAUCAUUGCGAUGGGUGUGUAAUUAUAUUUCUCGAACCUUGGCCAUUUGCAAAUCUGCGAUUACUUCAUCGUUUCAUCAAAGCUUCAGGCUAAUCGAUUUGUUGUCUCUAGUUUCUAGAUAUGUUAACAGACUGAAGAAUAACGGCAUUAUGAUCUCCUCUCUAAGGAGAGGUGAUUACCGGAACUUCUUCAAUCUUUUUUCCAUGUUUCCUCUGAAUACCGAAUCCGAGCAAGUGUUAUCCUAUGAUUAUAAGGUUGAUAUUCAUGAAAUCAAAGGUUGGAGGAACUUUGGCAUUAUGAUCCCGUUCCCAUGGAACGGUGGUUACCAAAGCUUCCUCAACUUUUUACCUCCGAACCCGCCCGACGACAGAACCAGUUUAACUUCUCUCCUUGCUGAUGAGCAAAUCCAGCUCGCUAUACUCGUGCCGGCGAGAACCUCGGCUAUGGAACCCUAUUCAACGUCACUUAGUCUAUUGACCGUGACCAUCGUAUCGUCUAACGCUUCGUUCGUGGAUGAUUCUUCGACAAACCGUGUUAUCACUUGCACCAAUUUGCUUCAUUCCUUUGGCCUCCAAGCUCUCAUGGAUCCUUUGUCGAAUUACUUUUGCUAUCUAUGUGUAGCAUUUGCUUUAACCUUUGUUUGUUGUUGCUACUUUUUUUUAAGCCUUCUUAUCCUUGUACCUUUGGCUACUUUGAACCUUGUCUCGUUUGAAUGAAUGAAAACAAGUUGUUUGACAAAAAAAAAAAAGAUAUGGUGGAGGAGGAUAAGAAUAUGAUUAUUUAUAAAAUGAGAAAUGGUAAAAGUUACAUUUAAACAAAUAAUUUAAGUAAUUAAGUGAGUUACAAUUAUGGUAAAAAUAGUUUAUCUCAAAAUUCUAGUUUAAUAUAUAGUAAAUAUUGACAUAUGUAACUGAAAAAUAAUUAAUUAAUAGAGUUAUAAUUUUUUGUUAAAAAUAAUAUAUGUGGGAAAAUAAUUGGUGACCAAUUUUUUAAAUGAAGAAAUGUAGAAAGUCAAACUAAAAAUCAAUGAAGAGUUUAUAAGCAAUCAAGAGUACAUGUGUCACAAAAAUAGAAUGUCAAAUGUUGCAAUGUUAGGCAAAAUUAGAAAAAACAAUUUCAUAUUAUAUAAGACUAGGUGAGUAUCCGCUCUACGAGCGGGCUUUCUCUUUAUUUUUUUUUCUAAAUUAACAUUGAAUAUUUUUGUCGAUCAAUUUUUGUAUUUAUUAGAGUUAUAAAUAUUUAUUGUUUUAUACUUUGUAUUUCUUCUUUUAAAAUUUAUUUUAUAAACGUAAAUAUCUAGUAAUAAAUUAGGGGUGGGCAGAAACCUCAUCAAAAAAGUUGAACCUGUGAUUCAUUUUGGUUUCGGUUUUUUCCAAAAACUGUUCGGCUACAAAUAUAUAAAAUAAAUUGGUUUCGGUUCGGUUUAAUUUAAAACCAUAAAGCCAUUCGGCUUUUUUGCAAUAUUUUUUCCUUUUCUUGGUAAUAAAAGCUACAUGAAUAAAUUUUCUCAAUCUAAUGACAUUUGUUUUAGAAAGUUUAUAAUUCCUAUUAGAAAAUAAAAAAGAAAAAUCUUUGGAAGAUGAUAUAUUUUAUAAUAAUAUUAUGUUUAACAUUUAAUUGGUGAAGUAUGUUGGAAUGUACUCAUGGGUUCAUUGAUCUAAAUCAAAGAUGAUACAAUUUAAUAUAAAUAUUUAAUGUUUUUUAUUUUUUGAAAAAAUUAUGGAAUAAACAAAAAAUAACCGAAAUCGAACCAAACCAAAUUUUAUAAGGUUUUUAUGUGGUUUUCUAUUUUUUAUAAAACCAAUUAAUCGUAAGACAAAAAAACAAUUUGUUUUUUUAUAGAGAAAGCGAAAUUUUGUUUUCUUUUUUUAUUUAAUUUUGCUUCAAGCCAUUCAACUCAUAUUACCCGUAAGUUUAGAGGGGGUUAUUGGUUCAUUUGUUAUUCAAUCAUUGAUUUUACAAUCCUAAUUAAAAUUAUGUGUUAUUGGUUCUAUGGUUUAUAAAUAUUAGUUAAAAUCCUAUCUCAUUCGUUUAGUCAUUUGAUUUUGGAUUUCAAAAUCCAAAUUAAUUAUGUUUUAAAUGGAUUUGAAAGAAAAAAAUAGAAGGAUUCAAAUCCAUGGGUAAACACAUGUUAUUUCAAAACUCAUAUGUCUUGAUUUCAUAAUUACUAAAGAUUUUCAAAUCCUAUAGGGAUUUACAAAUCAAUAACUAAUAACACCCCCUAAGUUUCUGUCCAAUUCACUAUGUACUUUUAGCCUCUGUCUAGUUCACCACAUACUCUUCUUCAUCUUUAUAAUCACAUCUCUAUUAAAAAGUAAAAAUCUCAAUUCAAUUUUAUUACCUUAUCAUAACACCAAUAUCAAUUGAAUCUCAUACUCUUGAGCUACUUGCCAUCGAUGUAGUACCCUCAAUUCUAUAAGGCGAAACAUCUCUCCUUUUUUUUUGUUAAAGGAUUCUCAAGGCGAAACCUCUUAAUGAGCUAGAGACUUUAAUAUAUUUUGGAAUGAAUAUAGAUUGUUUUUUUGUUGAAGAAAACUCCAUCAGAAUAGAGAUAACUUGUCGUGAAUUUUUAAAAUGACUUUAGGAACAUGAAUCCAUUUCUGAAAAAUACAAAUGUUACUUUAUUUAGAAUUGAAUCAAGGUAAAAGCAAAGAAAGACAUCAUGUCAUGAUGAUACGAUGAACGGAAAUACAAGAUUGUUAUUCAUGCACAAGUACAUAAAGGGAAAGCAAUUCAAAUCACAAUAUUAUUAUUUCUUGAACUUGGUCUGUAGAUCCACAACAACCCUUGGGUCCAACUGGAACGCCUUUGCAAGAAUAGUUGGGUCUAUGGCUGGGUUAGCCCCAAACACGGUGUUGGCAAUAGUGAUGACACCAGGGUUUUGGCUGCUUAGAGCGGCGAAUGCAACUGCUGGUCCCUUGCCAAUGUUUGCUUGGAAAUGGAUUAGUCCCUCUGGAAACACAAAUACAUCACCCUCGUUGAGAACUUUAGUGAAGAGGCGAUUAUCCGGGUUUGAUGUGACAAACCCUACGAGAAGUGUUCCUUGUUCGACAACCAAGAUCUCCGUGGCACGUGGGUGGGUGUGAGGUGGGUUUUGUCCGUUAACCGCAUAGUCAAUACGAACAAGGGAGAUUCCAAGAGUGUUUAACCCGAGAAGGUUGUUAACAUUGACGGCUGUCACGGUCGACCCAACUGGACUAGUUACGGGUCUUGCAUUUUGAAGCCCUGAGAAAAAGAAGUCAUCUGCUGUGACGAGCUUCGGAUCCUUGCAGAACUUUCCAUUAACAAAAACUGAAAAUAAGAAGAAAGAGUGUGAUUAAGAUAUGAGAAAAUUUAUUAAAAAUUAUGAGUAAAAAUGAUUUGCAAUCAUCAUGUACAUACUUCCAUUUGCUGAGGUGUUGGCGCUGACACAAAAGUCUUGAAGUUGGCUUGGAUCAGAAGCAAUGGCCAAUGGAAGUGUUAAAGCCAAGAGAGAGAGCACUGCAAGAUAUGAGAGACUCUUCAUUGCCAUAAAAGAUAGAGGAAGGUGUUUUUGUUUCUUGAAUAAGAUUGUAUUGAAGAGAUAAGAAACUUAUGAGACAUAGACUUCACUUUAUAGAUGAGUUUACGUGUUGAACUAAUCCAAGAAAUUAAAUAAUGAACUUGAUAUUUGAAAUGGUUAAAAAAGUUUUUUUUUUUUCAACCCAUUAUGUUUAAUUGAAAACUCAAAUUAAAAUGUAUACAUAAAUUUCUCCAACGAAACAUGAUGCACUUGAAUUUUGAAAUGGCAAGUGUUAGCGAGAAUAUAUACAUAGUUCAGCAAAUUGUACGUUCAAAGAUUAGUUUGUUGAAUAAUUCUUCCCUCAAUUUGUCAUUUAUUUCACUGAGUCAAACAAAAGGUCAAUGCGAUCGUGUUGAACUAAUCCAAGAAAUUAUGAACCUGAUAUUUGAAAUGGUUAAAGUAUUUAAACUUUGUUUUCUUUAACACAUCAUGUUUAAUUGAAAUUCAAGAUAAUAAAAUAUAUAUAUAUAUAUUUCCAACGAAACAUGAUGUACUUGAAGUUUGCUAUACAUAGUUUAGUAAAUUAUACGUUUAUUAGUAUAUACAUAGUAAAAUUAAAUAUGAAUCAAUGUUUAGGAAAUUAACAUAUAUAGAUCGAAAAAAACUAAGGUGAUUUAAAAUAAAACAAAAAAAUAUCCUAAACAUCAAAAAUCAAAACAAAAUAAUUUUAUCGAAUAAUAAAACUGUGUAAUAAUAAUAUUUGAGAAUGUAUUUGGAAAUUAGAAUAGUAUUGGUAGAUUGAAGAGUUUUUCAUUAGAAAUAAAAAGGAUUUUGUUUUUUUAAAUAAAUAUAUUUUAAAAUUAGAAUAAUUUUUAUGAGUUCGUAAGUUUCACAUUUUAGAAAAAUAAACAUUAAGAAUACAAUCUAGAAUUAUAAUAUACGUUAAAUUAUAUAUGUAGAAACUGCAAAAUUUUACAUUGAAAUCAUAUGUUUGUGAAUAGGAAUGAGUCCAUAUAUGAGAUUUCUUGUCUAUAAAGCAAUUUUAGAUGCACCAAAACAUGGUAGAAAAAAAACUUAUGACAAACAUCUCCUCAGAUUUCUGUUUCUGAUGUUUACUUUAAUAAAAAGAUCAUGAAACUUAUAAAAAAAAAUUGAGUAUUUAAUGAUAUGAAGGAGAAAAUAGAAAUGAUCUAAGGAGAAAAGAGAGUAAAUGUCGGAACACGACGAGUGAAUCAUAGAAGAUAACGAGAAAAAUUGUAGUGAAAAUGUGAGAAAUUUUUUACUAUUUUGGAAAAGUAAUGCAUAUGGGUAAAAUAAAAUCUUUUAAAAUUCAAUUAAGUAUAUUUUUACUCAAAAUAAAAAUUUCAAAUUAAGUUCUGCGCAACGUGUGGAUAUACAAUCUACUCCCUCUGUUCCUCCAAGUUUGAUGUUUUACAUAGUUUAGCAGAUUAUACGUUAUAUGUUUAGUUUGUUGAAUAAUUCUUCCCUCAAUUUGUCAUUUAUUUCACUAAGUCAAACAAAGGGUCAAUGUGAACGUGUCGGGGUGUGUUAAAAUGUUAACGUUUUUGGUUUUGUUUGAUGAUAAGACACGACUAUAUAAACCAUAUAUAUAUAAAUGGAUGCUGGGAAUAGUAUAGAGAUAAUUAAGAUAUAAAUAAUGUUUUCAGAUAUAUCGGUUCUAGCUAGGCCUGGGUACAAGAUAAGUACUUGCUAUUUUUUAAGUAUUUGUGACUUGCUUUAGCCCGUACAAGUAAUUAAAAUUUCGGCUUGAUACUCGAUUUUUUUGAGCAAGUACUUGCUAUAAUAAGUACCCGUCCAAAAUCUUGUUACUUGCAAGUAACUUGACUCAGCUUGUUACUUGCAAGGUAAAUUGACUUGAUUUGGCUUGUUACUUGCAAGAUACUUGUUACUUGAAGUUUUGAACUAAAUGAUUUAAUUUAAAUAAAAAAACGAAUCUCAUACAUAUUAUAAUUCAUUCCGAAUUCUAAACAUCAUAAAAUCACCAAAUAUUAAAGUUCAAAACAUCAUGGAAUCACAACACAUUCAAAAUUCCAAAAGAUAAGCAUUUUAAAACAAUUUGGUUCAAACUGAAACCCUAAAAAAAGAGAAACUGUGAAAGACUUCUCCGGAUUGUUUUUUAUUGUUUAUUUGCUAUUGGAUUUUUAAAGUAGUUGGGUUAUUUAGGUUUAAUGGGCUUUAAGUUGUAACUAAUGUUAGCCCUUAUAGUUUUAGUUUAUAACAUUGGGCUUCAUAGUUUUAGUAAUUGGGUUUAAUAGUGGUUGGGCUUUAUAGUUUAAAUAUGUCUUAUAAUACAAAACGGGGCGAGUAACGGGGCAAGUAUCAAAACGGGAUGAGUAACGGGCCAAAUAUAAAAAAAAAUUAUGAUACUUGAUACUUGACCCUUACUUGCAAGUAAUAUAAUUUAUCUACUUGAUACUCGACUUGACUAUAGCGGGUAUUUGAAUUUUCAACGCGAGUACGAACCAAAUAGCGUGUACAAAACGGAUAGCGAGUACUUGUGCCCAAACCUAGUUCUAGCUAAAUCCAUCGUCGAGCACUAGCCAAAAAUAUGUGUCACCCAUGAAUUCUCCUCUUAUAGUCAUCAUUAUGAUUUCUUUCCAAUAUUUUUUUGGUUUACGUUUUAACAUGUAAAAACAUUACACACAUUCGAGUAAAACUAAAAUGUUUAACAAAUCGUUAAUGCGGAAAAUAGUAAGUGGGACAAAAAUAUAUCUUAUCAUCGGCAACAACCAUAUAUACGUCGUUUCCCUUUUAAUAUAAAACUUAUUUCCUACCUUAUAGACCCGAACCCGAUGAUAUCGGGGAUCCAAAGCAUAGUCGUCGGCCCAAUUAAUUAUUUGGGCCCACAAUAAUUUUUUCGUCCAAGUGAAAGAAGAUAAUCCACUAGAUUUGUUUUUUUUUUUUUCUCUCUCUUUUGAUACAAAUUGAACAAACAAGACGAAGAAGAAAAGACUAAACAAAAAUCAAAUCAAGUUAAUUAAAACCGAGUAAGAACUUCCUAGGCACGUGACUCGUCUUUAAUUAACUUCUUUAGCUAAAAGAUUAGAUUCUUCGUCCUUGACUCCUCAAGGCGAAACCUCUUUCUUUCUGUUUUUAUGGUAAAAGAUUCUCAAGGCGAAACCUAUCAAUAAGCUACAGACUUUAAUAUAUUAAUUUAGGAAUGAAUAUAGAUUUUUUUUUUUUUUUUGUUGAAGAAAACUCCAUCAGAAUAGAGAUAAUUUGCAGUCGUGAAUUUCCAAAAUGACAUUAGGAACAUGAAUCGAUUUCUAAAAACAUAAAAAUAUUAAUUUAUUUAGAGUUUGAUUAAAAGCAUUGACAAACAUUCAUGCCAUGUAAUGAUAAGCGGAUAAUACAAGAUCCUUAUUCAGCUGGAAGUACAUAAAAGAAAAAGCAACUAAAAGCACAAUAUUAUUAUUUUUUGAACUUGUUCUGUAGAUCCACGACAAUCCUAGGGUCCAACUGGAACGCCCUUGCAAGAAUACUUGGGUUAAUCGCUGGGUUAGACCCAAACACUGUGUUAGCAAUAGUGAUGACACCAGGGUUUUGGCUGCUUAGAGCGGCGAAUGCAACCGCUGGUUCCUUGCCAAUGUUUGCUUGGAAAUGGAUGAGUCCCUCUGGAAACACAAAUACAUCACCCUCGUUAAGAACUUUAGUGAAGAGGCGAUUAUCCGGGUUUGAUGUGACAAACCCUACGAGAAGUGUUCCUUGUUCGACAACCAAGAUCUCCGUGGCACGUGGGUGGGUGUGAGGUGGGUUCUGUCCGUUAACCGCAUAAUCAAUACGGACAAGGGAGAUUCCAAGAGUGUUUAACCCUAGAAGGUUGUUAACAUUGACGGCUGUCACGGUCGACCCAACUGGACUAGUUACCGGUCUUGCAUUUUGAAGCCCUGAGAAAAAGAAGUCAUCUGCUGUGACGAGUUUCGGGUCCUUGCAGAACUUUCCAUUAACAAAAACUGAAAAUAGUAACCAAAACGAUAGAGUGUUAUUAAGAAAUGAGAAAAAUUAUCAAAAAUAAAAGUAAAGUGAUUAGGAAAUCUAUAUGUACAUACCUCCAUCUGCUGAGGUGUUGGCGCUGACACAAAAGUCUUGAAGAGGGCUUGGAUCAGAAGCAAUGGCUAAUGGAAGUGUUAUAGCCAGGAGAGAUAGAACUACUAGAAAUGGGAGACUCUUCAUCGCCAUAUAGAGAUUCUUCGAAGAGAGGAAGGUUUUUUGUUUUCUUGAAUUAAAUUGUAGUGAAGAGGUAAGAAACUUAUGACAUAUAGACCUCCAUUUAUAGAUGAGUUUACAUGUUGAACUAGUCUAUACACUUGCAGAUCCAAUCAGUUAAAUAAUGAAAUUGAUAUUUCUCCAACGAAACACGAUGCACCUGAAGUUUGAAAUUAAUGGCAUGUGUUAGCGAUAAUACAUUAUGUAUAGUUCAACAUAUUAUUCGUUAAAGGUUAAGUUUGUUGAAUGAUUCUUCCCUCAAUUUGUCAUUUUAUUUUACUGACUUGAACAAAUUAAUGGUCAAUGUGAACGUGUUGGGUUUUGUUUAAUUUUUCUAGAUGAUAAGACACGACUGUAUCAACCAAAUAUAUAUAAGUAGUUAUUUUUUGGAGAAUAGUUUACUCUCUUUACUCUUUGACUUUCUUCUUUGUUGGCUAAAAAGUUUACAUUGUAAACGAGAUAAAUGGUCUUUUAGACCUAAGCCAGUUAGCAGAAAUUAGGAAAAAAAAAUCAGGAUUAUUACAUUGUAAAGAUUAUUACAUUGUAAUAAUGUACUGUGGUUAAAUUACAUUGUAAAGAUUAUUGCCAAGUUCAAAAGAGAUCAAUGCAGUUUUGCCACCAAAUAUUUUCAGAGGCUGUUCUCGUAACUAAUCGAACAGAUUUGUGAUUGUAUUUGAAUCAUAUUUAACUGUUCAUAACAUUUGAUAUGAACAUGAUUUCAACAAAGGAUAUGACAUAUGCUGAGUUAAACAUGAUUUGAUGACCAAAUGGUAUGACAACAUUAUUUUUCUAUGUAUAGCGGUUUUCGACAUCAACAUAAAAAAAUUUGGUUUCUCCAGAAAAUGAUUUCUUAAAUCCGAAUAUUUAUUUGGAUGAAAGACUAAAAGUCUAAAUGAGACAAAUAUGUGUCUCAUUCUCAAGAAUGACAGGUCACGGAAAAUGUCAGAGCUAGUUAUGCUCUAUAAUGUUGAAAAAAAAUCUUAUGUUCAAAGUUUAGAAAAAUUCUCCCAAGAUUAGUCUUGUAGAUCCAAUCAACAUUUGCAUCUGGAAGGUUAAUAUAAGAUAAUGUUCUUACCACUUAUGAGAUGUUCUAUGUACUCCGCCCAACUAAUCUUGCAAAACAAAAUUUAUGACUAAUAAGAGCAUGUGCAGUGUGGUGAGAGAUUUAAAUAAAGCUCUCAUAAAAUAAUAUUAUUAUUUUGUGUGUACUUUAUUAUGAAAACUUUUUACAGAUAUUUUAUUUCCAUUGGUGAGUCUCUCACCAAAAAUCUCUCACUAAUAUAAUAAUUAUUUUUUCAAAAAAAAGUACAAUAUUUAUUGUAGUUUAUUAUUUGUAAUAUAAUUUAACUUGAAAUUAUAUUUUAUAUUUUAUUUUAAAUUAAAGAUUUUUAAAUAAUAUCUUUAAAUUAUAUAUAUCAAAUUAUAUUUUAAAUAUAUUCAAUUUUAUGAAUUAGUUAUAUUCCCUUGUUUAUAUAAUCUGUAAUAGUAACAAUAAUAAAACCAUAAAUAUUAUUAAUUAAAAAUAAAAUUAAAUAACAUAAAUUCUUAAAAAAAAUUAAAAUGCAAAAAAUACAUAAUAACAUAUAAAACCAUGAUCAAAGAUAUAAUAAAAGAGAUGAAGUCUCUAUAUAUAGGGAACAAUUUUUUUUUUUGGUCAACAUAAUAAACUAUUAUAAUAUAUAAUUUUAUAACUAUCAAAAUAUAUUUUAAAAUUUUCGAAUCUCAGAUAUUUUAGUUAUAUAUUUUAAAUAAGCGUUUUAACAAAAAUAAUAUUAAAAUUUUAUUAUUAUAAUUUUAACUAAUAUUAAUUAAAAUAAUAUUAAUAUAUAAUUUAAAAAUUCAUGCAUAAUGGAACUUGUUAGAUAGGUAAUUUUAUUUUAUGAUUUCUAAAAAAAAAUAAAAGAAAAAUAAUAACAUAUAAACUAUUUAAUUAACUUUUAAAUUAUUAGGUAUUUGAUUUAUCCUAAUAAAAUUUAAACCAUUUACAAAAUGACAUCUAUCCCAUAUAAGAGGCUCUCAUGAGGUUCUCAAAGUCCCUCAUAUGAGAAUCGAAUCUCAUGCACUUUUUAGCUAAAACAUUAAUUUAAUAUUUUUUAUUGUUUUUAAUUGUGAAAGACUUAUUGAGAGACUAUAAUCAUGCUCUAAGCAUUAUUAAAUUCUGCCUUAGCUCUAUCAAUGUGACACAUCAAUUUACUUUAGUAUUAAGUUUUAAUCAAUGGAAAAUACAAAGAAAUAUUUACCCCCAUAGAAACCUUCACCAAAGCAAUCGACUUAUUUAUUAAUGUAUGGAAGUUCUAUUGCUAAUAUCCGUACGACAAAAUGGAAGAUAUGCUAAAUGACAUUAGGUUACUCGAGAGAGUAUUAUUUCUUUCUCAUGCAUACGUUAUUAACAUAUGAUAUCAUUUUUUUCGCAAAGCAGAAGAACCUCAAUGUAAUUUCAUACUUGAAAUAAUCCGAAAAUGUGGGAAGGCGUUCUGAUAAGUUUGGAGGAAACCUUAGUAGUAAAAUAGUUUCUCUCUCAAUUUUAUUCAUUAGCCAAUAUGCUUAUUUAUACAAAUAUCAUAACUUAAUUAACAAGUUCUUUACAUAUAUGAUAAUAGAAAAUCUACUAAUUUAAUAAUAAGAAUAUAUUAUACAAAUGUUAACUUUCCUUUCAAGUCGAUCUCGUAAUCCCCGAGAUCUCCUAACACCCUCCCGGCCCGCAAACUCAUACGUGGUAACAUGUAUGAGAUUGGACAAUCAUCUUCACGGUCUUCAUACCAACUAUAGGGUUAUCAAUGGCGUUUAUAACUCGCCAUAAGGUCAUCAAUUCAAUGGAGGAUACUUUAAUAGUUGUGUAUCUCCAACGAUUUUAGAUCGCAAGUCUUGGUUGCUUUUCGAACUUCUUGUUCAUGAAGAAACUUGUGUAGUAGUCAUGGUCGAAUUCGAAUUCGUCACCGCCGGAUCAGCAUCGUAUCCGUCAGAAUCAUUUUCGUGGCUUCCAUCUUUUUCGUAGUUAGACGAAAAACCACAUGAAGACCAGUUAAAAACCAAACAUAACCAUAUGGUUUUGUUGGUCAUCAUCCUUACCAAAGUAAAUCGUUUGUUUAUAUCAUCUUUUGUAGUGAGUGAUAUGAACAACGUCUUCUUCUUCAGGAUUUCUUCUUCUUCAAAUAACUAGCAAGUUUUGCUAAUUAAUAAAAAAUCAAUCGAGGUCAUUAACUGACCCAAUUCAACAACGUAAUUCACCGACAUGAUGAACACGUCUCUCUUCUCUUUUUUUUUUUUUUUAUAACAAAUAAAAUCUAUACUAUAUAAAAGUCGAGGCUAUAAGCUCCUGAGGCCGUCCACGUAAGGUUUUAAACGACCAAUCGGGAUUGGACAUGCAUUAAUUAACAUAUUUUGAUUAUGAUAAUUUUCUAUAUUAAAGUUUUAGUAAAAAGGAAAAGAAAAACAAUAAGAGAAAUAUUUGAAAAUAUAGAAAUAUUUCUAAUUAUAAUCUUGUGUUUUUUGAAAAUAUAGAAAUAUUUCUAAUUAUAAUCAAAAUGUCAAGUUUUAAUUUUUAAAGAUUAUAAAUUUAUAUAGAAAUAUCUAAAAAUAUGAAACAAUUCUGAAUAUAAAUUUUGUUAUCAAAUACAUAAAAUGAAAAUAAUAAAAAAUGUAAAUAUUUUUUGACAUUAGUUAAUAUUUUUUGACAUCACGUUAAUUAAAUUAUAAAAUUAUAAUAUUUUAUAUAUUAAUAUAUUUAUGAGAAAAGAAAAAAAAAUUAUAUAUGCAAAGAAUAUAAAUGUCAACUUUUGAAAAACAACAUAUGGAAAUAAGAAAAUCAAAAUAUACAAGAAAAAGUAAAUUUUUGAAAAACAAUAUAUGGAAUACGUUAAACUUAUAUUCUUAUUUUGUUAAUUUGCUAAUUUUCCAACAAAAAAAAAGAAUAUUGACAAAAAACAUAUUCGAUUAACUCUAGAUCUUUUCAAUAUAAAUAAUAACCGGAGGCAUCUGAUUUGAUUAUAAUUUUUAAGCUAUAUAUUUCAAGCCGUUAGUAACAAUUAGGGUUGGUUAGUACUUUUAAUGGUAAAAAAAGUCGAGGCUAUAAGCUUCUGAGGCCGUCCACAUGGGAUUUUAAACCACCAAUCACGGUUAGACAUGUCAUUAGUUAACGUUUUUGAAAUUAUUAUUAUUUUCUAUUUUUUUUUAAGAUUUUUGUAUAAAUGGAAGAAGCAACAUAUAUAAAUAAGAGAAAUAUUUGGAAAUAUGGAAAAUUUUCUAAAUAUUUUGUCAUCAAAAUACAUAAUAUAAAAAUUAUCAAAAUGUAAACUAUCUUUUUUUAAGUUUAUACAAUUUUAAACGAAAUACAGAAUUUAUUUUUAGUCUUACUACAUUUAUUAGUAAUUUAUCUUCAAUAACAAUAGCCAUUUAAUCACAAUAGAUAUCUCAUUGAACGAUAUUUUAAAAAUUUAUGACUUUUAUUUUAAAAGUAUUUAAAGUUAGAAAAAAAAUACGACAAUAUAUUGAAGCAAGAUGUAUAUAAAUUUUGUUAUUAUAAUACAUAAAAUAAUUCAUAUUAAUCUCAAAAAUUUGAUUAUAUUGUCAUAUUUUCUAAACAACCAAUCGUAAUUAGUCAUCAUUAAUUAACAUUAAUUGGGAUAACAAUAUUUGAAUUGUCGGUAACAGUUAGGGUUGGUUACUACUCUUUAUUAGGGAUAACAAUAGCCCACAUUGAAAGUUGAGUAAAAUCUUAAAUGCUAUAUAUAAGAUAUGGACAUCUCCACUCAUACUCAAUUGGUUUUGAGUUCGAAGCCCAAAGUCUAAUAUGGUAUCAGAGCCCGAUCCGCAAAUGCUCAACCCAAUCCACAUCGGCCUAACCAAGUAAUUGGUCCGCCUAUCCAUGCCCGAACAUACCGAGAUCAAUGGGUAAAAGAGCCAUCAUCUCGAGCGGGCGUAUAAGGGAUAACAAUAUCCCACACUGGAAGUUGAGUAGAAUCUUAAGUGGUAUAUAUAAGAUAUGGGGCUCUUCACUCAUAGCCAAUGGGUUUUGAGUUGGAAGCCCACAGUCUAAUACUCUUAAUGGUACAUAUUAUAUUUUUUCCAUCGCUUUUGCCACUUGAAACAAUAUUUGGACUUCUAUUUUUUUUUUCCUCUCAUACUCACAAUUUAAUAUAUUUAUCUUUGCUUUUGUCGCUAAUAAGUCAUAACCAUGCUUUUAUGCUAAAAUGUUAAUAUAUAUAUUAUGAUUUUUUUUUUAUUCUCAUCAUUGAUUGUUACGAACGUUUUUUUUGUGUGUGUAUGAUUCACUCGACAUUACAUCCACACCUAAUGGAUCUAACUUUCCUCCUUCCGAGACGCUAUAUCCCAUAGAGAUUAACAACUUUAUUACUUGCAUGUCUGCACCACCACCUAACAUAUUAUGCUUCUGUUUGUUAGAUUGUUUGUCAUUUGAGACUGUAAGUAGUUUUUAUUGUUUUGGUGAGAGUAGAACCGAAAGAGUCCAGCUAAGUUUGUGAAUGGUAGAUGUGCUAAUGGAAUAGAGAAUGAAAUAAAGGAAAGGAGUGCUUGCAAAAAGAUAGAAAGAGUGAUACCUCUCCGGAAAAAAAUUGUGAACACGAAAAUUCAUAUACAUAUUGAAAAGAAUGUAAAAAAAUAUGAAUUGUUAAAAAUAAAUUAUAGAUAAGCUUAUGAGUACAGUUCUGUAUAGAAUCUUAUAUUUAGAAGAGCUACACUAACCAAUACAAUGAAGAUAGACGAAGAACAAUAUUGAAUUUGCGUAUACCAAAAUGAGAAAGCCGUCGAAGUUAGUCCCCAUACAAUAAUAAAUCUAGAAAAGUGGUGGUUGCGGUGAGAGUUGAGGAACAUACAUGUAAGACCGUGCAAGGAAGCUCUCUUGGGAAAAGUGUCUAAGCCAAUAUUGUGAAAGAUGUCUAUGGCUAAUGAGGUAACUUAUUGCGUGGUUCUUUUUUGAAACUUAGGUUGUAUAUUUUUUCAGUUGGAUGAUAUCUAACCAAGAAAAAGUAUGAAGACUUGUGUUGAAAUUAUGGAAAAAGUUUUUCUUCUUAGAGUACCAAUUUCAAUCAAAACAUGAAUUAGGAAGACGUAACAAAAGUAAUAAAUUUAAUUGAUGAGAUCAGUUUCCUUGCAUUAUGAACAAUUAACGUCAGAAUUUAGGUAAUAAGGGUUGAUUUCCAUGUAAAAAAAUAAAAGAGAAAGAGAGAAAUGCGGUUGACACCAUAAGACAAACUUGGAUUAUCAAAUAUGGAAAGAAAGUGAGAA